UCCGGUGCCCUCAGCGCCAUGCGGAUGAGGGGUAAAAGGGAAGCGGGGCAUUCCCCCACGAUCUCGUCACUGUGAUGGGUAAGCAGAUCUGCAUCACGCCACUGGCUUUGCUGGGAAGGCGCGGAUUCUGCAAGGAUCCCUAAGUCAGGAAACCUGCCGGAUUAC
rnacentral:ncRNA from 1 species